CGCGAGGUAGAGCAAAUCUCAAAAAAACAUCUCAGUUCAGACUGCAGGCUGCAACUCGCCUGCACGAAGUCGGAAUUGCUAGUAAUCGUAGGUCAGCAUACUACGGUGAAUACGUUCCCGGGCCUUGUACACACCGCCCGUCAAACCAUGAGAGUUGGCAACACCCGAAGUCGGUAGUCUAACCGCAAGGAGGACCGCCGCCGAAGGUGGGGUUGAUGAUUAGGGUUAAGUCGUAACAAGGUAAC
rnacentral:rRNA from 1 species